rnacentral:rRNA from 1 species
UAUGAACGCUGGCGGCGUGCCUAAUACAUGCAAGUCGAGCGAACGGACGAGAAGCUUGCUUCUCUGAUGUUAGCGGCGGACGGGUGAGUAACACGUGGAUAACCUACCUAUAAGACUGGGAUAACUUCGGGAAACCGUAGCUAAUACCGGAUAAUAUUUUGAACCGCAUGGUUCAAAAGUGAAAGACGGUCUUGCUGUCACUUAUAGAUGGAUCCGCGCUGCAUUAGCUAGUUGGUAAGGUAACGGCUUACCAAGGCAACGAUGCAUAGCCGACCUGAGAGGGUGAUCGGCCACCCUGGAACUGAGACACGGUCCAGACUCCUACGGGAGGCAGCAGUAGGGAAUCUUCCGCAAUGGGCGAAAGCCUGACGGAGCAACGCCGCGUGAGUGAUGAAGGUCUUCGGAUCGUAAAACUCUGUUAUUAGGGAAGAACAUAUGUGUAAGUAACUGUGCACAUCCUGACGGUACCUAAUCAGAAAGCCACGGCUAACUACGUG